AGCAAUCCUGGUGGCGAGUGGCGAACGGGUGAGUAAUAUAUCGGAACGUGCCCAGUCGUGGGGGAUAACGCAGCGAAAGCUGUGCUAAUACCGCAUACGAUCUCUGGAUGAAAGCGGGGGACUCGCAAGGGCCUCGCGCGAUUGGAGCGGCCGAUAUCAGAUUAGCUAGUUGGUGGGGUAAAAGCCCACCAAGGCGACGAUCUGUAGCUGGUCUGAGAGGACGACCAGCCACACUGGAACUGAGACACGGUCCAGACUCCUACGGGAGGCAGCAGUGGGGAAUUUUGGACAAUGGGCGCAAGCCUGAUCCAGCAAUGCCGCGUGCAGGAUGAAGGCCUUCGGGUUGUAAACUGCUUUUGUACGGAACGAAAAGGUCUGCCUUAAUACGGUGGGCUCAUGACGGUACCGUAAGAAUAAGCACCGGCUAACUACGUGCCAGCAGCCGCGGUAAUACGUAGGGUGCGAGCGUUAAUCGGAAUUACUGGGCGUAAAGCGUGCGCAGGCGGUUAUAUAAGACAGAUGUGAAAUCCCCGGGCUCAACCUGGGACCUGCAUUUGUGACUGUAUAGCUAGAGUACGGUAGAGGGGGAUGGAAUUCCGCGUG
rnacentral:rRNA from 1 species